rnacentral:rRNA from 1 species
UACGUAGGGGGCAAGCGUUGUCCGGAUUUAUUGGGCGUAAAGAGCGUGUAGGCGGCCAAGCAGGUCCGCUGUGAAAACUCGAGGCUCAACCUCGAGACGUCGGUGGAAACCGUUUGGCUAGAGUCCGGAAGAGGAGAGUGGAAUUCCCGGUGUAGCGGUGAAAUGCGCAGAUAUCGGGAAGAACACCCGUGGCGAAGGCGGCUCUCUGGGAAGAUACUGACGCUGAGGUGCGAAAGCGUGGGGAGCAAACAGG